AUGAUCUUUGUUCUGAUCAUAAAAGCUUUGGUACUCGGGCCCAAAUUUAGGGGUGUUGGUGUACAGAUAUGGCGAGACUUCAUGUGCCCAAGUGGUUAUGCCCAAGGCAAAUUCUUCCCACUGUUGCAUUUGUUCAGAUUGCUACUCAUGAUGAUGGGCUCUUUCAGGUGGUUGUUACAUCUAAGAACAGGACAUGAUCUCUGUUCCGAUCAUAAAAGCUUAGGCACCCGACCCAAAAUUUAG